CUAAUACCGCAUAAGCCCACGGCUCGGCAUCGAGCAGAGGGAAAAGGAGCAAUCCGCUUUGAGAUGGCCUCGCGUCCGAUUAGCUAGUUGGUGAGGUAACGGCCCACCAAGGCGACGAUCGGUAGCCGGACUGAGAGGUUGAACGGCCACAUUGGGACUGAGACACGGCCCAGACUCCUACGGGAGGCAGCAGUGGGGAAUAUUGCACAAUGGGGGAAACCCUGAUGCAGCGACGCCGCGUGGAGGAAGAAGGUCUUCGGAUUGUAAACUCCUGUUGUUGAGGAAGAUAAUGACGGUACUCAACAAGGAAGUGACGGCUAACUACGUGCCAGCAGCCGCGGUAAAACGUAGGUCACAAGCGUUGUCCGGAAUUACUGGGUGUAAAGGGAGCGCAGGCGGGAGAACAAGUUGGAAGUGAAAUCCAUGGGCUCAACCCAUGAACUGCUUUCAAAACUGUUUUUCUUGAGUAGUGCAGAGGUAGGCGGAAUUCUCGGUGUAGCGGUGGAAUGCGUAGAUAUCGGGAGGAACACCAGUGGCGAAGGCGGCCUACUGGGCACCAACUGACGCUGAGGCUCGAAAGUGUGGGUAGCAAACAGGAUUAGAUACCCUGGUAGUCCACACCGUAAAC
rnacentral:rRNA from 1 species